AGUAAUGAAAGUACGAUGGAUGAGAAUGACAGUGUAAAGCACUAGGACCCUGUGCCAGGCUCUGCAGAGUGGAACCACCUAGAGCUGAUGAAGGCUGUCAGUUUUGCUGGUCCAGUGGCUGAUGAUCACCGCCCCAUUGUACACCAGUGUGAUCCAUAUGACUCCAUAGGGGCCAGCCCGCAGUAGGACAUGCAGGACGAAGAGGAAAGACCCCUUAUGGAAGACCUUAUGACUGACCUUACUAUGCUUGUCUGUAACAAAUGUCAUUACCCAUUAAUAGUAUUUGUGUAAUCACCAUCUUCCAGAUUUCCAUUUUCUACUGUCCUAUUCUAUUUUAUUUCACUCAUAUAAUUGAUAAUAAAAAUACUGUUUCUCUUA